GUGAAAUGGGGACUUGAACACACUAUUACUCACUCGGCCACAGUCAUCAUCCAGCAAACAAAAGAAAAUGAGUUUUUUUCACAAAAUGUACUCCUCUUUGUAAACUCAGCUUACACUUGAACAAAACCCACUGUCAUUUUCAUCCUUGAAGAAGAAGCGUUUGCAACUCAUAAAUAAUUUCUGAAAUCAUUGAUUUAUGUUCAUCCACUGUACAAGAUGACAUCAUGCGAUAGUCCAAAACUUUCCACGAAGCAAGUAUUGCCAGCGUCUAGCAUCUGCCGUGACUGGAAUUAGAUCUCAAAAGAGGUCAGUUUUUUAAAACACAGCUUGCAUGCUUGAAUCAGUGGCUUACAAGAUAUUGUUGUUAUUUUAUUGAUUAAAAAUAGCAACAGAUCUGUUUUAAUUAAUGAAUAUGUUGCUGGAUGUUGUUUCUCUUUCGGGUUGUCAGUGUUAAGUUGAAAAAAAAAAUUGCUAGGUAAUGACUAAUAAGAACUAUUGCCUAAUGAUUUAAGAGCUUUGUAAGUAUUAGAUGUAGUUCAUCAAAGAUGGGUUUCGGUUUGCUUAAUUAUAAUGUGAUGAUCUUUCAAAGAAGGUAAUCACAUGUAUUUGCUAAAUAAUAUGGACUGUAAUCACAUGUAAGUUAGGUAUAUUGUUUUACAUACAAUUUUUCCUCCCAUGUGAGAUGUUCUCUGUAUUUUUGUCCAAGGGUUCUAUUUGUUAUGCAAACUAGAAAAUGAUGGAUGUAGUAGGACUAUGAACUUGGCAUGUUAUGAACUCUGAAAAUUACCCUUUUUCCAAAUUCAAAAAGUAUUGACUUGCCAUUUACCCUGUUUGAUUCUAAGUUUCAAACAAGUGUGCCUCAAUCUUAAGUUUAAUUAGAUGUCUGUAUAUAAGAGAUAAUUGUUUGUUGUAUUUCUUAUUUCAAAUUAAGCUUCAAUCUAUCUGCAUGCAACAUUUCAGAAGAAGAAUAAGCAGCUACAGCAAGUCCAUUAAUUUAGGUGUUUCGAGUUUGACCAAGAGAUGCUCUAGAUUUAGGUUUGAUGCACCAACAAAAUUCAAAUAUAUCAAUUAUAGAGCAAGACUUUCGGGACCUGAAACCCAAUUGAAUAUUUUCCUGAUUUGCG
rnacentral:lncRNA from 1 species